AUACGGAGGGUGCGAGCGUUAAUCGGAAUUACUGGGCGUAAAGCGUACGUAGGUGGUUGGUUAAGUUAGAUGUGAAAGCCCCGGGCUUAACCUGGGAACUGCAUUUAAAACUGACGAACUAGAGUUGAGUAGAGGGGAGUGGAAUUUCAGGUGUAGCGGUGAAAUGCGUAGAGAUCUGAAGGAACACCAGUGGCGAAGGCGACUCCCUGGACUCGAACUGACGCUGAGGUACGAAAGCGUGGGUAGCAAACGGGAUUAGAAACCCCAGUAGUCC
rnacentral:rRNA from 1 species